GUGGGGAUGACAGCCAAGAUCACACAGUACCUUGUGGCUGGGCCAGGCCUAGAUCCUGAGAUUCUGUGUAAGUCCUCUCGCAUGACAGCCCCGGUGAAAGCAGGAGAAACAAGUAUCAGGCUGACAGUCAGUGCCCAGCCCGACAGCCGAGGAACAGGGUGUCUGGGCUCUGGAGCUGUGCCCUGUCUCUGAGCUGCUGCCUGCUGAGCCAGAAGCAAGCAGCAGAGGCCUACAGGCUGUCAUGCAUGAAUACCAGGACUGGCACUAACCCUGUGCCACGGGUCCCCACGUCAACGGGUUCGGCCCAACCUAUACAAUUGGGGUCCACGUGCGAGCCCUGGCGCUGCCAGCGCGCUUGGGACCAGCCUGAGGAUGGGGUGUGUGCUAAAGAUGGCAGAAUGGACACGUGGAAAGAACCUACAUUCUGGGACACUGUGGAAUGCAGCC